rnacentral:misc_RNA from 1 species
GAUGUAAAUCUCAGAAAAUCCAUGAUGUAGGCUAACCAUCAUGAAAAUCAUGAAAAAUUGAAAUUUUUUAUUUUUAUUAUUUUUAUUUUAUAUAUCAUAUUAUUAUUAGUCUAUAUUUAUUCUAUAUUCUAUAUCAAAUUAGAUUAGAAUAUUGUAUUAAAUAUUAUUAUAUAGAACUUAUAAAUUUAUUUAUUAUUUUAUUAUUAUUUGAUUUAUUUGUAUAUCUUUAUUUGAUUUGCCCUUUUUAAUAUUAGUCUUUUGGGAAUUAAUAUUAAAAAAUUAACGACGAGAUUUAUUCUUUUUUUUUUUGCAUGUCCCUGAGAAUCUAGAGUAGGUAUAAACUCCCAAUUUCUGGCCUACCAUAUGAUCUGCUAUAUAAGUAGGUAAAUGUGCCUUUCCAUAAUUCCAUUAUGGAUAGCAGUAGUACAGCCAAUCAUGUGGGUGUAAUGUUAAAUGUUGAGGAAUCAAACUGAUCAUGUGCUAGUAGUUUCAUGCAGCAACAUCAUCUCAUUGAAGAAUAAUAUUUUCAAGAUUUAUUUUGCUUGAUGCUGAGUACAUCAUGAAAUUGAAUGAUACAUAGUGAGGAAAGAAGUAAUAACUAACUAUUCCUUGAAGAUACAAACAUAGUUGCCGAAGACUUAUCAGACUAGGUCGCAUGCUUUACAUGGUGUAAAGGACACUGUUACAUGUAGGAGAACCAGGUUUAGAAAUAAGGGGAAUAAAUCAGAUAGGCCUGAGAAUCAUUCCCAGAAGAUAUCAAUAAAAUCUUACUCUUUUCUCUUUCUUCUAUGUACUCUCUCUAAAUCUUCCUGUUCUUCUCUUUUCAUUUCUGGAAUAACUGAAAGUUAGUGUUUCCACCCUAACAAAUACAUAUGAGAUAUCUAAGCAUCCCAGUGUUUGGAUUGGGGUUUAAUUGAUUAUUUAUCUGAUGAUUUCUUGGGGUGGAAAGGACAUAAAAUAGAAUUAGUAUAUGGCUGAUUUGAUUUUGUGCAAAUUUAUACAGGAUAUUGAUUUAUAUAUGCUUAAAACUUAAUAGUUGAAAUUACACGUAGCAUUGAAACUGGAUAAUUUCUCUUGAAUUAAUGUUCACUUUGAGUCUAGUAUUUUAUAUUUUUCUCUCUUAUAUUAUUUUUUCCCCUUGAAUAUUAUGCAGGCAGCUGCUUGGAUCGUACUUGGA